UUCCUCUUUUCUGCUGUGGCUACUACCUCAGUGGCCCCAGGGCACCAGCUUUUGUACCACAGGCAGGAGCUUGUCUGAAAGCUCAGAGCUGAGGAGCGAGAUGGGGCACUUCCAACACCACGUGAGCUCCUGGAUUCACCCAGACCUGAAGCAGGAACUGCCCGCAAUUUAUGGGGGCCAAUUCCUUUCUGCUGGAACAUGCCUGAGCUGGGUUUUCUUCCCCUCUGAGUCAAGGGCUCCAUCUGGCCUGGCUAAACCAGGGUUCCUGGCCAGCUGACCCUGACAUCCCCCACCGUGGACCCUGCGGUCGGGCCUGCUCGCCCUCCCUCAGGCCAGCCUGCCCCAGCAGGGGUAGGAGCUGCACCACCAGGCGGCCUUCUGGAGCUUGCUGUCCACGGAGUGGGAAUCAGACCCCCUCAUUCUAGAGACGGGGGCCAAGGCUCCGAGAGGAAAUCCUGGAGGCCAGAUGGAAGUGGAAUAGUGUUUUCCAAUUGCUGAAAGAAAAGGACAGAAUUCUGCAUCCAGUGAAAAUAGCCUUCAGGAAGGAAAGCAAAGUAAGAUGUUCCCAAGUGGAGGAAAACUAAAGAGAACUUUCUGUGCUGACUCCGCAACUUCUCAUGAGCCUCUCAUUGUUUCAAAAUAAAAAUUUUUUAAAAAGCACAAAUGCUUGAACAGACACUUCACUGAAGAGGGUAUUUGGAUGAUAAAUAAGUGCAUGGAAAGAUGUUCAACACCAUUAGUCAUCAGGGAAACAGAUUCA